GCAAUUUCUUUUCCUUACAAAAGGGAAGGACAACUUGUUGGUUGCAAGUAUUGGACCUUGGACAAGAAAUUUUGGCAGGUGACAUGACAUGGAUGUGCUAUGGAUUUUGGGCCCAUAGUCAACAAUUUAACUCAGAGAAGGGUACUAAGAAGACUUUAUAUGGACUAGAUGACAUAUCAGAAGCUGAUGAAAUUGUCAUUGUUGAAGGUGAAAUUGAUAAGCUCUCGUUGGAGGAAGCUGGCUUUAGAAAUUGUGCAAGUGUUCCUAGUGGCGCCCCAGGAAAAGUUUCCAAGAAAGGAUUGCCUUCUCCGAACAAGGUUUGUUACUUGUUUUAGGUAUAUCCUAUUUUGAUGUCAAUAUGAAGUUCACACUUUAACAUGCUGAAACUUAGGUCUUUCCAGGUUCAACAACUGACCAUCUCUUAUCAAAUGAAAAUCUUCUAAUAUUGGUUGUAUGCGGGUGAGCCAAUUGCUUUUAUGGUAAACAAAGAUUUCACAGAUGGGAGUAUGAAAGUCGCGGUAUAGUAAGAUCCCUUUGCCAAAACAUAAGAUCUGACAGUUGUCUACUGUAUUGCUUUCUCUGUAACCUGAGGAACAUCGAAUUUUCUUGAGUUAAUUUUCGUAUCUUUCUUAAUUUUUCAACCUGUUUUUCCAAUUCUGGCAGGUUUCAUUUAU